rnacentral:lncRNA from 1 species
AAAAUAACAGAGAAAGAAGAUUGAAAAUUAAUCAGGAAACAGUUAUGUUUUAAGACCUUCUAUGAAAUGUCUUUAUUGAGGCCCUAAUCCAUAUCAGUAAAUAUAUGCUAAACCCUGAUUAAAACAAACAAUGGGAAAAGUACUCUCUAUUCAAUAAAUAGUUCUGGGAUAACUGGCUAGCCAUAUGCAGAAGAUUGAAUCUCAAUCCCCACACUGCACCAUAUACAAAAUCAACUAUAAAUGGAUCAGAGAUUUAAAUGUAAGCCCUCAAAUUAUUAAAAUCCUGGAACAGUCUAUGAAAUACUCUUCUCAACAUAACUCUUGGCAAAGGAUUCUGGGCUAUGUCCCCAAAAGUGAUUGCAAGUAAAACAAAAAUAGAUAAGUGGAACCUAAUUAAACAAGAGUUUCUGCAUUGCAAAAAAAGCUAUCAACAAAGUAAACGACAACCUACAGAAGAGGAGAAGAAAUUUGCAAACUAUGAAUCUGAAAAAGGCCUAAUAUUUAGAAUCUAUAGGACACUUAAAUCAACAAGCAAAAAAACUCCUUUAAAAAAAUAGACAAUGGACAUGAACACACACCUCUCAAAAGAAGACAUCCAAGUGGCCAACAAACAUUAAAAAAAGUUCAUCAUCACUAAUCCCCAGUGAAAUGCAAAUCAAAACCACAAUGAGAUACCAUUUCACACAAGGCAGAAUGACUAUUAUUAAAAAGGCAAAAACAACAGAUGCUGGUGAGGCUGCAAAGGAAAGGGUAUACUUAUUCAUUGUUGGUGGGUAUGUAAAUUAGUCCAGCCGCUAUGGAAUGCAGUCCGGUGAUUUCUCAAAAAACUUACAACAGACUAUUGUGAACCCCAAAUAUCUGAGACAGGCCCCAGUCCAUUUAGAGAGUUUAUUUUGCCAAGAUUAAGAACAUGCCUGUGACAGGCUCAGGAGGUCCUGCUGACAUGUGUCCCAGGUGGUUGGGGCACAGUUUGGUUUUAUACAUUUUAGGGAGACAUGAGACAUCAAUCAAUAUAUGUAAGAUGUCAUUGGUUUGGUUCGGAAAGGUGGGACAGUUGAAAGUGGGGAGAGGGUUUCCAGGUCAUAGAUACGUGGGAGACAAAGCGUUGCAUUCUUUUGAGUUUUUGAUUAGACUUUCCAAAGGAGGCAAUCAGAUGUGCAUUUAUCUCAGUGAGCAGAGAAAUGACUUUAAGCAGAAUGGGAGGCAGGUUUGCCCUAAGCAGUUCCCAGGCUUGACUUUUCCCUUUAGCUUAGUGAUUUUGGGGUCCCAAGACUUAUUUUCCUUUCACAUUUUU